rnacentral:lncRNA from 1 species
GCGAUGGAUGCAGGAUGACGUUGGUGAAGAGCAACUGCAGAAAUUUGCAGUAAAAAUUGUAUUACCUUUGGACCACAUUAUUAUUAUUUUUGUCAAAUUCAUGCACUCAAACAUAUACACAUAAGUGGACAACUGGUAAAUAAUGCAAUACACUUUGAAAGGCGUUGAACAACGACGGCCAGACUUGACAAAAAUGAUCCGCUCGAACACUCCCAAAUGGCUCAAUUUAGCGACUCUUGAGUCCUGACGCUCGUCACUCAGAUUGGUGAUGAUGAGUCGGAACAUUUAUAGUCGGAACAGGUAAAGCGGAAAUGUCCGAUAUGCUGAUUCGUUGAACGCGGCACGUUUAUAUGUGGAACCAGUUACCAAAUCGGACAUUUCUGAGAUUCCUCGUUCCGACUAGCCCAUGAACGCGGUAUUACCAUUGCUCAACUUGAAAUAAAGAAUAUAUCUCGAGGAUUCCAGUUUAAUAUUACAAAAAAAAAAAAAAAAACGGCCUAUUUGUUAAACAUAGUUGUUUUGUGAUCCCUGGUUUUCUUGCGUUCCGAGUGACGUUAAGGAGAUUACCACCUUGAAACUCCUCCCAACAGUUCCGAUGUGAGCUCUCACCCACAAGAGGAACUAAAAAGAUCUGACAGCAGUUACUGCUCCCCAUCCACAUUCUCCGGGAUAGUCACUGGUUUUCAAUGUCCAGCCUGCUCUUUUGGGCGAGACGACUGCUCUACACCGGCGCCUCGACAGAUUGAGAAAGAUGUGAGGAGAGCUAGAAUUAUCUAUUUCACUUGCUUUGGCAAUGUAAACCGAUGUUUCCCAUGCCAAUAAAGCCCUUUGGAUUGAGAGAUGGGAAGAUGUAGAGGCCUGUGGGGAAAGGAUGAAGACACUAGUUGAAUUGGAACACAUUGCUCCCAAAGAUUUAAAAAAAAAAAUACAUGGGAGAAUGAAUGUAGUAAAGAGAUGGGAGACCCGAAAAGGAGAUGUGCUGAGUGAGGGAUGAAAAGAGAAGGAGAAAGACUGAGGGACGGGG